UAUGAAGUGUAAAUUGAAAUUAAAAUUGAAAUGUUGUUGGUGUUGCAUUUGUAGCUAUUUGAGCCAAAGUGCAAAGUACAAUGUUGUUGGAAAGAUUUGGGAAAUAAUUACUAUUUGUAGAGAUAUGCUGUUGUGUUGUCGCUCAAUGCCACCAAGACCAAUGAAUUUGUGCAUAAUCCUUGUCCGUGCGUACUAUUAUAGGGCUGAUAGAGAUUAGUUUUGGUGAACAAGUUCCAUCACUGUUAAAUCUUAUCAUACCUUAUUCUGGCAUAGCUUUAUUUCCAGUACAUUAGCUCUGAAUCUAAUUUCUGCUGAUACAAUCAACUUGAGUAACUUUGGUUUAAUAUCCUAUAUUGUUCAAUAAAUGUGGGAUGUAUGGCAGUGAACUAGCUGCUCUAGAAAAUUAUGGCCACAGAUGACAAUUGGCUUUAUUUUGAGAUUUUCAGAUCUUUCCAUUAGACUAAAAGUUUCUCAUAUUUUCUAAUUCUCAUGUGCUUGUACUGCAAUUCAACAAACCUCUAAGGCUGACUACUUUUGUAUUUUUAUUUUUUUCAAAUUUUUUUUGGCAGAAGCAGCUGAAAUUCCAUAUUCAGAUCAUCAACCAGUUGUUGGAAUUCUCCCCCAAGGUUGUCAAUUGCCGGAGUUAAGGGAGAUUUGCUAGAUACAAGAAAGUAGCAGCAGAGAUGGCGGGUGAUAAUAGGGGUAAGGCUAUUGCUAAAGCCCCGAAAAAGUCAAAGAAGAAGAAGGGUCUGUUUAUACCACCAGAGGUCGUAGUGCCAGGAACCUUUAGGAUUCCUGGCAGAGAUCGAUCUCCUCCCCCAUAUAUCCCGGGGAUGCUCGUAGGUCACAGCCUACCCACCGCCCCGACCUUCCCAUGGUAGACGACGUAUGUCACAGGCCAACGUAGUUCAUGGUCUUGUGGAUGAGGAUAGUGAGAAGGAUUCGGAUCAUGUCUCCAACACCCAACGUUGACUUUUUUGAUUCGUAUACUUUUGGAUUCUAAUUUUCCUAUGUUUUCUUGGAUAUGUAUAUGAUAUUUAAGUGUUUGAAUGUAGUUUUAAUUCGAAUUAGAAGUACUUUGAAGGUGAAUUUGAUUGUAGAAUGUAGUUUAUGGUUGUUUAAGUUUAUGAUGUUUAAGUGUUUCAAUCUAGUUGUAAUUUGAAUUAGAAGUACUUUAAAUUGAAAUUUGAGGUUAAAUUUGAUUGUAGAAUGUUGUAGUUUAUGAGUGUAGAAGUACUUUGAUGAA